UUUGCUGGUCUCUAGGGACAUUGUGCACGCUUCAUUAGUUUCCACUUCAUACCCCUGUGCACCUUUGAUAGAUUUCGGUUGGGUUAUCCUGGUUUUCUUAAUUGAAGGCCUUGAUUUUCCUAAACGAUUUCUAUACUAUACCACACACCAAAUGUAUGUUUAUAAUGAAUGUUUAUAAUUACAAGGCCAUGAGCCUUAUAAACUUAAUACAACUUUCAACAACGGAUCUCUUGGCUCUCGCAUCGAUGAAGAACGCAGCGAAAUGCGAUAAGUAAUGUGAAUUGCAGAAUUCAGUGAAUCAUCGAAUCUUUGAACGCACCUUGCGCCCUUUGGUAUUCCGAAGGGCAUGCCUGUUUGAGUGUCAUUAAAUUCUCAAACUCUAUGACUUUAUUGUUGUAGCUGUUUGGAUUGCUGGGGGUUGCUGGCGUCUUCUUUUGAAGUCGGCUCCUCUUAAAUGCAUUAGCGGGACUUUGUUGCCUCUGCGCAUAGUGUGAUAAUUAUCUACGCUAGACGCAUGCAAUUCUUAUAUUGUCCAGCUUUCUAAUCGUCUCAAGGGACAAUUACUUUGACAAUUUGACCUCAAAUCAGG
rnacentral:rRNA from 1 species